GAUGAACGCUGGCGGCGUGCCUAAUACAUGCAAGUCGAGCGAAGCGGGGACGGGUGAGUAACACGUGGAUAACCUCCUAUAAGGCUGGAAUAACUUCGGGAAACCGGAGCUAACCCGGUAACUGAUAGGUGGGUACUGGCUGCAUUAGCUAGUUGGUAAGGUAACGGCUUACCAAGGCAACGAUGCAUAGCCGACCUGAGAGGGUGAUCGGCCACACUGGAACUGAGACACGGUCCAGACUCCUACGGGAGGCAGCAGUAGGGAAUCUUCCGCAAUGGGCGAAAGCCUGACGCAGCAACGCCGCGUGAGUGAUGAAGGUCUUCGGAUUGUAAAGCUCUGUUAGUAGGGAAGCGGUACCUAAACAGAAAGCAACGGCUAACUACGUGCCAGCAGCCGCGGUAAUUC
rnacentral:rRNA from 1 species